rnacentral:rRNA from 1 species
AGCGAACGCUGGCGGCAGGCCUAACACAUGCAAGUCGAACGAAGUCUUCGGACUUAGUGGCGGACGGGUGAGUAACACGUGGGAACGUGCCUUUAGGUUCGGAAUAACUCAGGGAAACUUGUACUAAUACCGAAUGUGCCCUUCGGGGGAAAGAUUUAUCGCCUUUAGAGCGGCCCGCGUCUGAUUGGCUAGUUGGUGAGGUAAAGGCUCACCAAGGCUACGAUCAGUAGCUGGUCUGAGAGGAUGACCAGCCACAUUGGGACUGAGACACGGCCCAAACUCCUACGGGAGGCAGCAGUGGGGAAUCUUGCGCAAUGGGUGAAAGCCUGACGCAGCCAUGCCGCGUGGAUGAUGAAGGUCUUAGGAUUGUAAAAUCCUUUCACCGGUGAAGAUAAUGACUGUAGCCGGAGAAGAAGCCCCGGCUAACUUCGUGCCAGCAGCCGCAGUAAGAC